CCUCUAAGCAUCAGGUAACAUCAAAUCGUACCCCAAACCGACACAGGUGGUCAGGUAGAGAAUACCAAGGCGCUUGAGAGAACUCGGGUGAAGGAACUAGGCAAAAUGGUGCCGUAACUUCGGGAGAAGGCACGCUGAUAUGUAGGUGAAGCGACUUGCUCGUGGAGCUGAAAUCAGUCGAAGAUACCAGCUGGCUGCAACUGUUUAUUAAAAACACAGCACUGUGCAAACACGAAAGUGGACGUAUACGGUGUGACGCCUGCCCGGUGCCGGAAGGUUAAUUGAUGGGGUCAGCGCAAGCGAAGCUCUUGAUCGAAGCCCCGGUAAACGGCGGCCGUAACUAUAACGGUCCUAAGGUAGCGAAAUUCCUUGUCGGGUAAGUUCCGACCUGCACGAAUGGCGUAAUGAUGGCCAGGCUGUCUCCACCCGAGACUCAGUGAAAUUGAACUCGCUGUGAAGAUGCAGUGUACCCGCGGCAAGACGGAAAGACCCCGUGAACCUUUACUAUAGCUUGACACUGAACAUUGAGCCUUGAUGUGUAGGAUAGGUGGGAGGCUUAGAAGUGUGGACGCCAGUCUGCAUGGAGCCGACCUUGAAAUACCACCCUUUAAUGUUUGAUGUUCUAACGUUGACCCGUAAUCCGGGUUGCGGACAGUGUCUGGUGGGUAGUUUGACUGGGGCGGUCUCCUCCUAAAGAGUAACGGAGGAGCACGAAGGUUGGCUAAUCCUGGUCGGACAUCAGGAGGUUAGUGCAAUGGCAUAAGCCAGCUUGACUGCGAGCGUGACGGCGCGAGCAGGUGCGAAAGCAGGUCAUAGUGAUCCGGUGGUUCUGAAUGGAAGGGCCAUCGCUCAACGGAUAAAAGGUACUCCGGGGAUAACAGGCUGAUACCGCCCAAGAGUUCAUAUCGACGGCGGUGUUUGGCACCUCGAUGUCGGCUCAUCACAUCCUGGGGCUGAAGUAGGUCCCAAGGGUAUGGCUGUUCGCCAUUUAAAGUGGUACGCGAGCUGGGUUUAGAACGUCGUGAGACAGUUCGGUCCCUAUCUGCCGUGGGCGCUGGAGAACUGAGGGGGGCUGCUCCUAGUACGAGAGGACCGGAGUGGACGCAUCACUGGUGUUCGGGUUGUCAUGCCAAUGGCACUGCCCGGUAGCUAAAUGCGGAAGAGAUAAGUGCUGAAAGCAUCUAAGCACGAAACUUGCC
rnacentral:rRNA from 1 species